GUGAGAGAACAAAGGAGAGAUUUCUAAUUCAAGGUGAAGGAUCCAAGGUUUACCAGAGGCGUGGGCUUGAAAGGGCCGUUAGGAAUUCAUCAGCUGCUGAAUUCUCUUUCACCACAAUUUACCACUCUAAGGCAAAGGUAAUUUUGGUUCCAUAAAAAGAGGUAGCUUUGACACUUUAGACCUUUCUACCUACAUCUGGUAUGGCCUUUGGAACAGACCCAGGGAAGCUUGAUUACUUUCAGAAACUAAGGAUCUGCAAGGGUGUAGGACAAGGUUUUUAAGGGUGCUUUGCUGGAGAAUUGAAGAAGGCUUGGAUAAAGUGUUCAGGCGUCAGAUCAAGGAGAGAAUGGAAGCCAUAUUUUUGUUAAAAUAUAUUGCCCAGCUCUGCAGAAAAGAGGAUUUCUUUUCUCUGUGAGAAGUUGCUGCCCGGGCGGUGAUUGAGUUGUCCAUUAGGUUAGUGGUUAUUACAAAUGACGUUAAGAUAAGAUGGCUUCUCU
rnacentral:lncRNA from 1 species